UGAAUACAAUGGAGUUUCUGAAUCUAUUUGGUCAGACGACAGUCAUUCAGCAACAGAAUUCACUCAAAGUCAAUUUUGGCUUUCUGAAUGGAACUUGGAAGAUGGGAUACAGUGCACAUGUGUGGUGGAAACAGGAGGGAGGAACAUAUCAAGAACUAUUCAACAUCAUAUGCCAGGCUCCGGUAACAACGCAUGUUCCAUUCUUGUUUAUGGGAUCUCCUUUGCAUCACUUCUCAUAAUAGCAGGAGGGGUGGCGCUGGGUAUACGCCACUGUAAACUUGGAACAGGUACCCUGAAUGGACCAGUUUAGAAAGUGCGUAAUAGAAACAUCAGGGAUUUAAUAGUAAACAUUAAUUGACUUGUCAUGUGAAGCUAAACAUUUUUCAUUUUUCAAAUUUUCAUCAAUUUCAUGAACAAUUGACAACUUGUGCUUUUUUUAUGUGAUGUGAUCUUAUUCUCAGAGAGUGCAGUAUUUCAGUCUGGAAAACAUGGACGAAUUUGAAAGGAUGAUGUGGCAGAAAACAAAAUAGUUGAAAUUACCUGUUUAUAUUAGAUGUUCAUACGUUUAUUUAUUUCCACAAUGACAUGUUUACUGAAACUGCUUAAUUGUGCAUUUCUAAAUAUUUUCCACAUAUAAUUAAUUGCAUGUUAGAAAUAUAUGCGCAUUUGCGUGUUGUGUUUUGGCUUCAAUGGCUUACUUACUCUGCCCAAUGACAAUAAAGCUGAUCCUGCUCUGGUAUUUUCCCA
rnacentral:lncRNA from 1 species